AGUUUAAUCUUGGUGAUUUGCAUUUCCGAGUCCUAGAAAAGCUGCAGUUUACAUACGUAUUUGGUCUCCUUGUAUCAUUAGGUAGAGUUCGAGAAUUUUCUUUUGUACUCAUCUAGAUUUGAAAAGCUGGCUGCUUGCAUUUCGUCUAAAGCCAAAACAUGGAAGGAUCCAUUCACAGAUUGUUGUGAGUUCGACAAAUUUUCCAGUAUCAAUCCGGAAUGAGUACGCUUCAAUUCGAAAGAUCUGUUGAAAGCUGUGCAAUCCUGGUUUAGCUGACUACUCUCAGCUCUUAGGACGCAUCGACGAGGAUUAUCGCAGCUAGGGCUGCCCUUCAAGUUCCCUCCACCAUCCAGCAGGAGAGUACAUUGUUGGAGCGUCGGUGUUGUCUCCCUCAGUGCUCUAAAACAAAGCUUAUGCACACGGCAAGGCAUUUAACGGAAACUGCCGGAAGGAUAUUGAAAGAGAUUGUAGUAAAACGUUGCAGGUUUGUGAGCUCUUCCAGCCACCCAAAUU
rnacentral:lncRNA from 1 species